rnacentral:rRNA from 1 species
AACUAACGCUGGCGGCGCGCCUAAUACAUGCAAGUCGAACGAUGUAGCAAUACAUAGUGGCGCACGGGAGAGUAACACGUGGAUAAUCUCCCCUCGAGAGAAGAAUAACUAGUCGAAAGAUUGGCUAAUACUUCGUAAGACCACAGAGACGAAUGUCUCAGGGGUAAAAGUCGUAAGACGCUCGAGGAUGAGUCUGCGUCCCAUUAGCUAGUUGGUGAGGUAAUGGCUUACCAAGGCGACGAUGGGUAGCUGGUCUGAGAGGAUGAUCAGCCUCACUGGAACUGACACACGGUCCAGACUCCUACGGGAGGCAGCAGUAGGGAAUAUUGCACAAUGGGCGAAAGCCUGAUGCAGCGACGCCGCGUGAGUGAUGAAGGCCUUCGGGUUGUAAAGCUCUGUUGUCAGGGAAUAAAAAAAUGAAUGUACCUGACGAGAAAGGACCGGCUAACUUCGUG